CCCAGUUGUGGGGGAUAACUAGCCGAAAGGUUAGCUAAUACCGCAUACGACCGAGAGGUGAAAGCGGGGGACCGAAAGGCCUCGCGCGAUUGGAUGAGCCGACGCCGGAUUAGCUUGUUGGUAGGGUAAGGGCCUACCAAGGCGACGAUCCGUAGCUGGUCUAAGAGGAUGAUCAGCCACACUGGAACUGAGACACGGUCCAGACUCCUACGGGAGGCAGCAGUGGGGAAUAUUGGACAAUGGGCGCAAGCCUGAUCCAGCAAUGCCGCGUGUGUGAAGAAGGCCUUCGGGUUGUAAAGCACUUUUGUCCGGAACGAAAAGCGAUGGAUUAAUACUCUGUCGUGCUGACGGUACCGGGUGAAUAAGCACCGGCUAACUUCGUGCCAGCAGCCGCGGUAAUACGAAGGGUGCAAGCGUUAAUCGGAAUUACUGGGCGUAAAGCGUGCGUAGAUGGCUAAUUAAGUCGGAUGUGAAAGCCCCGGGCUCAACCUGGGAAUGGCAUCCGAUACUGGUUGGCUAGAGUGCGGUAGAGGAGAGCGGAAUUCCCGGUGUAGCGGUGAAAUGCGUAGAGAUCGGGAGGAACAUCCGUGGCGAAAGGCGGCUCUCUGGACCAGCACUGA
rnacentral:rRNA from 1 species